rnacentral:misc_RNA from 1 species
UUGCUGCGCAAGCGGAUUGUGGACGAAGAUGUAUGUGAAGAAUGCAAUCAGGAAAGUGAAUCGGCGGGCCACAUAGUCUUACAUUGCCCCUUUGCAAAACGAUUCUGGCAGGCAAUAGGCUUUCAAGUACCUGCUGAUUUGGAUGUCCACGAACUGCAUCUUAUUGCAGGAAGCAAUCCCCUUAAGCCGGAUCCUUCGACAAUGCAUAAGAUCGUAGCUGAAUCCGUAGGACGGGCGCUAAUCGGAGGAACUUGCAUCGAUUCUUGCGUGCUGACGGUACCGGCAAGGCGGCAAGAUAAGAGGGACAGGGACGGUGUUUGUGGAAUUGCCUCCUUGGAGGAGGCUGGUGAGAGGGAGAAAGGAUGA